AAGUCGUAACAAGGUUUCCGUAGGUGAACCUGCGGAAGGAUCAUUAUUGAAUAAAUCUGAUGUGGUUGAGCUGGCUCUCCGGAGUAUGUGCUCGCUCGUCACCUUUAUCUUUCCACCUGUGCACACACUGUAGUCCUGGAUACCUCUCGCCGCAAGGCGGAUGCAGAGAUUGCCGCAAGGCUCUCUCUGAAUUUCCAGGUCUAUGAUUUUACACACCCCAAUUGAAUGUUUUAGAAUGUCAUCAUAAGGCUUCGUGCCUAUAAACCUAUACAACUUUCAGCAACGGAUCUCUUGGCUCUC
rnacentral:misc_RNA from 1 species